AAUAUUGCACAAGUGGGGGAAACCCUGAUGCAGCCAUGCCGCGUGUGUGAAGAAGGCCUUCGGGUUGUAAAGCACUUUCAGUAGGGAGGAAGGUAGUGUAGUUAACACCUGCAUUAUUUGACGUUACCUACAGAAGAAGCACCGGCUAACUCCGUGCCAGCAGCCGCGGUAAUACGGAGGGUGCGAGCGUUAAUCGGAAUUACUGGGCGUAAAGCGCAUGCAGGCGGCCUGUUAAGUCAGAUGUGAAAGCCCCGGGGCUUAACCUCGGAAUUGCAUUUGAAACUGGCAGGCUAGAGUCUUGUAGAGGGGGUAGAAUUUCAGGUGUAGCGGUGAAAUGCGUAGAGAUCUGAAGGAAUACCAGUGGCGAAGGCGGCCCCCUGGACAAAGACUGACGCUCAGAUGCGAAAGCGUGGGGAGCAAACAGGAUUAGAUACCCUGGUAG
rnacentral:rRNA from 1 species